AUUGAACGCUGGCGGCGGGCCUAACACAUGCAAGUCGAACGAGUGGCGGACGGGUGAGUAAUGUCUGGGAAACUGCCUGAUGGAGGGGGAUAACUACUGGAAACGGUAGCUAAUACCGCAUACCAUCGGAUGUGCCAAGGUGGGAUUAGCUAGUAGGUGGGGUAAAGGCUCACCUAGGCGACGAUCCCUAGCUGGUCUGAGAGGAUGACAGGCCACACUGGAACUGAGACACGGUCCAGACUCCUACGGGAGGCAGCAGUGGGGAAUAUUGCACAAGGGGCGAAAGCCUGAUGGAGCCAUGCCGCGUGAAUGAAGAAGGCCUUCGGGUUGUAAAGCACUUUCAGCGGGGAAGCGUUACCCGCAGAGGAAGCCCCGGCUAACUCCGUGCCAGCAGCCGCGGUAAUAC
rnacentral:rRNA from 1 species